rnacentral:tRNA from 1 species
GCGCCCGUAGCUCAACGGAUAGAGCAUCUGACUACGGAUCAGAAGGUUAGGGUUGAAUCCCUGGCGCG